CGCCAGACUCCUACGGGAGGCAGCAGUGGGGGAUAUUGCACAAUGGGGGGAACCCUGAUGCAGCGACGCCGCGUGGGUGAAGGAGCACCUCGGUGCGUAAAGCCCUAUCGGCAGGGAAGAAAAGCGAACAGGUUCGCCUGGACGGUACCUGACUAAGAAGCCCCGGCUAACUACGUGCCAGCAGCCGCGGUAAUACGUAGGGAGCAAGCGUUAUCCGGAUUUAUUGGGUGUAAAGGGUGCGUAGACGGGAAGGCAAGUUGGUUGUGAAAUCCCUCGGCUUAACUGAGGAACUGCAACCAAAACUAUCUUUCUUGAGUGCUGGAGAGGAAAGUGGAAUUCCUAGUGUAGCGGUGAAAUGCGUAGAUAUUAGGAGGAACACCAGUGGCGAAGGCGACUUUCUGGACAGUAACUGACGUUGAGGCACGAAAGUGUGGGGAGCAAACAGGAUUAGAUACCCGAGUA
rnacentral:rRNA from 1 species